GAAAAUAAAUGAGGAAAAGAUGGUUAGAUGUUUAUCUAUACAGCAAAAAAGUAUCAGAGCUUCAAAACUACAAGGAUAUUACCAUCGCAUGGCACUGUUGAUCCGUUAAUACUAAUCAAAGUUCCGAGAUAUUGCUCAUUAACAUCACUCUCUUUCAGCGUGGCGAGCACAAGCCUGGGCAAUUCCGGCCCAAACAGUCAAGGCUGGGAAUGGGUCAGGCCUAAGAAUUCCUCUGUCAGAUCCAUGGCUGUGCCUAAACCUGGGCCUCAUCCUGGCCCCAAACUCUGCCUCUUGUCCUGUCCUCCAUCCAUAUUCCAUUUCUCAUUUAGUUCCCUAUGUAAAACCUCGCAUUAGUUUGACCAGAGCACUGAAGUUCAAGGCUACUGAAAAGGAAGGUACUUGGAGCUUCUGCAAUGGGCAUGAGAAAGAUUAGGGAAAGAGAAUGUCACCUAGAGCAGAUUUUUUUUAGGGGAAAAACUCUGACAACACUAACAUACAGAUUUUGACGAUAAGCGCAAUUGAAUGAAUGAUACCUUUUAACUCACAAGUUCUAGCCGGAAUCUCCAAAAUGAACUUGUGGAUAUAAGGGAUCACUGUACAUUCAUCUGAGAGCACUUUCCUAGCUCUUUUAGGAAAUGAACAUCUUUGUUGGUUACAGGUACAAUGCCAUCUUGCUCAUUUACCUUCUCAAGUAGAAGCCUCAGCAAUGGAAUUCCUGAUAAAGUUUUGCUAGAACCAACCAUAAUAAGC
rnacentral:lncRNA from 1 species